UCAGCGGUCAUGGAGAGUCUCCAUCCAGCUGGAUCACUGUCACAGAGAAACCGACCACCACACCUCCACCUACAUCUACACCUCCACCUACAUCCACACCUCCUCCUGGUUGCACCUCUUGUCAUCCAUCACCCUCCCCGCCUGUUGUCUCUGUGUUGUCAUUCAUUUUAACAGUCUGUGUUGCAGCUCUACUUAUUUUACUGGUUCUGUUGGUGAAACUUUGUGGUGUUAGAAAACCUGAAGGCGACACUCGGACGUCUGGAUUUGUUUCAGCCAAUAAAGAAGAAGCUAUAGAAGACAACCCCAUCAGUGACGUCUCAUAUGACAUCGUACAGAGCAGAGGGAUAAAUCGGGCUGCACUCUACUCAACAGUGAGGAAAAAAAACACCACUUAUUCACAAAUCGUGAAAGACAAGAGAAACAAAUCAAAGCCAACAGAGUUUCCAUCAGAGCCAGAUGUCAAACAACUGGAAUCCAGCUGCAGAUCUAGAAUUGGUCCACCCAGCACCCCAGACCUGAUGACAAUUACUUGUAUAACUGACUGAUAUAUAUAUUUUGUUCUUUUUGUGAAGUUACAUUCACACAGCUAUUGGGAGACAAGAAAAACAAUUCAAACAGUGACAAGAUUUUUCAUAAAAAACUUGGUAAAUCUAAAACCUAAAAGACUAAGAUGAAAAGCAAUAACAAUAAUUUUCUUUAUCACCACAGCAAUGGUGUGGUUUCUCUGCAGGAUCAAUUAAUUUUGGUCUCAUUUCAUGUUCUUCCCAUGUGGUUCUGUGGGUUUUACAAAGACCUGCGAUUAACAAUGUGAGGUGUUGUGGCUAACAAUUACACACUUCUCUUCAGAGCAGAAAAAGAACAAACAAGCAUAAUUUCGCCUCAACCAGACUAUAAACAGCACGAACAUUUUUCAGCAGGUUGACACUGCAUAGAAAAUAUUCAGAACAAACUGUACCUGUGUGUGUUUUUAGCUUUUGAUUCAAGGAAAUUAAGUCAGUGAGACUUUACUUCAGAUGUUUCUUAAAGUAAGGAUUCCUCCAUAUUAUUCUAUUCAACUUCAGCUACACAUAUAUCUGUUAGCGUGUUGUAGAUUAGGUUGUGUUUGGCACUCAUAGAUGUUUUAAACUUCUGUAUCCAAUUGCUUUGCUUCUACUCGGCUCACAGCUUAUUGCUAUUCUAUCUGUUUUAUCACAGAAAAAGUUAAAUAUUAAAUAUUUUGUGAGGAUAACAAAUUCUCACACAAGUCAUGUUUUUGAUGCAGUAAAAAGUACUGUUUUUGAUUGUGAUAUUUGCCUGUAAGUUUUCAGUAAUUUUG